ACCUAUUCAGAAAAGACACCUCUUCCAAAUAGUCUCCUGUCUUCUCUAUAUAUUUGUUAUCCCUGAAAAGGGCGUAACAUUCUGCAGUAACAUUUUUGGCUUUGAGGAAUAUUGAAGAAACUUGUCUGUAUCCUCCAAAGAAUAUACAGACAAUAUUUCUGUAAGGACAGUGAUUUAUUCCCGCCUCAAAGUUUUCUAUUCUCUUCUUUUUCUAACAAUUAGUCUAUUUAUUAUAGAGUCCAAGUCUUUUGUAAACCAAACUAACGAGCAUCAGUUGGUUAUAUAAACAAGGAGACUAAAGUCUCCGUUUUGUAAUCGGAUUAAAACUCCUAUUUGGUGAAGGAGUCCAAUUCUAAAUUCCAAAGUUACGCCUUAAAUGUUUGUUUAUACAGGCCUAAAAUUUAUAAGAUAAAAAGAGGAGUCCCGGUUAGAGCUACAUUUUGGUGGCGAUGAUUAUGUCAAUUAACGAAGGUGGUGUUGGAAUUUAAUUAUGCAAUAAUUCAACUUCCUCAAAUAGUGCUCUCGCAGUGAGAUAUUUGGUGCUAUACUUUUGAGGAUUUGCUGCCGAGCUCUUCAAAAUAUGAUGAAAGGAUUGAAGGUAACAAGCAGGGGAUUGACGCAGCGAUGCAUUAAAAUAGGCUUGCAGAGUUAGAUAAUUGGUACUAAGAACUUUGUGUGAACCUUAGAAAAAAGGUAUCCAGCAAGUUACUUAAGUGGUAGGAGUUCUUUUUAGGACAUGAUAUGGGAGAUCUGGGUGAAAAGUGCUAACGCUUAGGCUAAAACAUAGCAGAGAUAAAGCAUAGAAAGCUAGGUAUUUUGAUUUUUGGGAUCGAUAAUAUGUAAAAGUAGUUUGUACAUAUGUGGGAAUGUCACAUCGAUGCCAACAAGCCAUUGUGUUGGCUAUAUAGUGCUGAGCUCCGAAACCUUAGAAUGUGAAUGAUAAGAUGUGUGCAUUUAUAUAUAUCUAAUCAUAUAAAAAAAUAACAAUGACUUGGGCGUGGGUCAGGUCAGACCUUAGAUAAAGAUCUUAUUUUGCAUUUUAUUUUAUUUUUGAACAGAUUUUGUUUUAUGAAAAAUUUGAAUUUAAUAUUUAAAUUUUAAGUUAAACGAAACAUCACGUCUGUUCGGAAGGGGAGCAAUUCUUCAGGAAUAGACUCUUUCUCAACUUCUAUAAAUACGAACAAAUUCCAGAAGUAGCGUAUUCAAUUUGGUUGUAUGAUUUCUGGCUUUGUUAUAUCCUAAUAGAGAAUUGCUUGAAAUCCCAAAAAAAUAUACAGACAAUAACUCUUGAAAGAUAGUGAUCUUUCACGCCUCAAAGCCUUAAUUUCUCUGUUAUUCUUCUCUUAUUCUAACAUAAGAGAUAUAGGUAUAUCCUAUUAAAAACUAGAGCAGGUCUUUCCAUGUUAAACUUAAAUUUCUUUUUGUGUUAAUACUAGAAUAAAGUCAAUGUUCAUAACAAAUUUUUCGAGAUUCAAUUUGACUAAUUUUUUAAGCUAAAUUUAAUUAGAUUAAUUUAAUAUUGUAAAACUAAAAUUUAGUUAUACUAAAACUAAAUGAAAUGUACUAUAAGUUAAAAUUCUUUUCAUAUCAAUAUGGUGAAAAAUACAUCACAAAAUAUCAAAGUUCAAAUAAUUUGACUCUCCAAAAACAAAAUGUGACAAGUAUUUUGAGACGAAGAAAGUAGUAUUUAAGAUCUAAUUUAUUCUGUAUUCAUUUGGUAUGAAUUAAGGGAUUGGUUCAUUAUGAAAUACGGUUAGCACUUUGGUCACAACAAAUAGGUAAUUAAGGGAGAAUGGGACAUGCAACAUGUCUUCAAUAGUCCAAAAAUAUCGUUUUUCAAGUAGCAUUAGCUAAAAUAUGCUCGCAUUACAUGUAUCUACAUUAUAUUAUAAUUAAAUACAUGCACAACAUUAACAUAAUUAAAAGACACCUUUUAAACAAAAAAAUUAACAUUGAUUUAAGCAUUUAAAAGAUUGUUAUAUUUUUUUCCAUGUCAAUUGCUUUUCAACAAUUUUUUCUUCUUGUAUAUGAUUUUUCUACAAUUUGUUUUUAUUGUUCCUUUAUAAACAUGACAGACUGAAGACCUAUGAAAAAUGCACGUACAUAUCUAUAUAUCUACAUAUAUUAAAAGCACACAUGUUAAAAUGCUAAUUGUUGAAUUAUGAAAAUAUCCCCGAAAUGUUGAUCGACUUUUAUGCCAUUAAAUAGCUAAAAUAUUUAUUUAGCAAAGAAAUUCGACGUUCGAUAUAAUUGUAAUGUUUAAGAUUUUACCCAAUAUUUAUAACUUUAAACUCAAAUAAAAAUCACUAUUUGACUAUAAUUGUGAAAUUAAAAUUCUAAAACCAAAUAUGCCAAGCUUUUUCUCAAGGACAAAAGAGAUGAAAUUGUAAUGUUUAGGACUCUUCACUAAGUUAAUUCUUUUUUAUUUUGGGUCUGCACUAAGUUAAACUCCACUAGGACUAGAAUAUAUAUAAUGAAGAAUUAUAGUAGAAAAAAGACUCACAACAAAGAGGUAAAGUUGGAACGGAACAUCAUAGAGGAUUUUUAUCUCUAUAAAUUAAAGAUUAAAGAAUUAUCUAUUCCGCUUUCAUAUGCGCCAUUAUAUUUAUAUUUAUACUAGAUGAUGGAAGCCCGUGCUAGCAAGGGCCCAACACAAAAAAUAAUACCAUAUUUUUUUUAGACUGUCUAAAAAGAAAUGAUAUAUUUUUAUGUUUAGAAAUUAUUUAACUUGAAAUUUUCCCUUUUACCUUUAAUGAAAUGAUUUAAAUUCACACAAAUAUCCAUGUCUUGUUUUAGACCAUAAGUUUCAAAGAUCUUUGCUUUAUUUUUUAAACUUCGUGCCUAGUCAAAUUAUGUCACAUAAAUUAGGACAGAGAGAAUACCUUUUAGUAAUAUAAUUAUGAAAUUUUUAUUACAGAAAGUAUUAUAAUUCAAUUAAUUGAAAAUAUCAAUAAAUUAAAUGACUUAGUCCGCUUCUCCCAUAUAUGACUUUCCUGGUUUAGUUCUCCAAUUGAAAGAUUUGAGGUACACCUUCUCCUACCGAGUUUCAUGCCAUCAUCUCUUUCUACUCAACAACACUAAAAAGCGCUUUUAUGUGUCAGCAUCUAUUGUAGUCUUAAAUUUUUAAAUAUAGACCAACUUCAUCAUUUUAAGAAAUAUGUGUAUUACGUUUCUUGACCGUUUGUAUUUCGUCUUCUUGAUGUUAUUUCUCAUUAUUUGUGUGAGACGUAUGUGUCUAAACUUAUACCCAAAGGCAUAAAUUUUAAAUCUUUUGGUUUUAUUACUUCUUUAGCGAUUUUUGUGUUCAAUUUAAAUCGUUAUUUCUUUUUUCUUGAAUUUUUUUUCUUUAAAUUUUCUCUAAGCGUACCUUUAUCAUUUUCUGAACUUAUUAUCAUUAUUUAAAUAUCCUAUUUUUUUUCUUCUUCACGUGGACCCCACCUUAUUUUUUUUUAUUUUUUUUUGCAAUUGUCUCCUAAUUCUUCACGUAGACCUCACCUUAAUUUUUUUUUUUAAAUCUCUACUAUUAUGGAAGAGUGGGCCCCACCUUAAAUUUGUUUUUUUUUAAUUUCUACUAUUAUAGAAAAGUGGGGCCCAACUUAACUUUUAAUUUUUUUUACUAUUAUAGAAGAGUGGGCCCCACCUUAUUAUUAUUAUUAUUUUAAAAUUUACUACUAUAGAAGACCGUUUAUAAUUCGUCUUCUUGAUGUUAUUCCUCAUUAUUGGUGUGAGACGUAUGUGUCUAAACUUAUACCCAAAGGUAUAAGUUUUAAAUCUUUUGGUUUUAUCACUUCUUUAGCAGUUUUUGUGUUCAAUUUAAAUCGUUAUUUCUUUUUUCUCGAACUUUUCUUCUUUACAUUUUCUCUAAGCGUGCCUUUUACCAUUUUCUGAACUUAUUAUCAUUGUUUAAAUAUCCUCUUUUUUUUUUUGUUGCAAUUGUCUCCUACUUCUUCACGUGGACCCCACCUUAUUUUUUUUCCUAGCAAUUGUCUCCUAUUUCUUCACGUAGAUCCCACCUUAUUUAUUUAUUUAUUUAUUUAUUUAUUUAUUUUUGCAAUUGUCUCCCAAUUCUUCAUGCGGACCCCACCUUAAUUUUUUUUAAUCUCUGCAAUUAUAGAAGAGUGGGCCCUACCUUAAAUUUGUUUUUUUUUUCAUUCCUACUAUUAUAGAAGAUUGGGCCCUACCUUAACUUUUUUUUUAAUAAUUUUUCUACUAUUAUAGAAGAGUGGGGCCUACUUUUUUUUUUUUUUUUUUUUAAAUGGAGUGACUGACGACGAACUAUAUAGAAACUCAUAUUUCUAUAUAGUUACUAGAUGGCGUAUGCAGCACGGGCCCAACACUUUGGAUUAUAGUGUAUCUAUGUGUAUGUAGUUGUGUUUGGAUAGUGAUAAUAUAUAUUUUUUAUAUUGCUAAUAAACAUACAUAAGUUUGCACUGUUUUUAUGCAUAUAUAUACACACACACACACACACACACACACACACACACACUAUGUUCAAAACAUGAUUAAUAUAACAUUAUAGUUUGUGCUCCGUAUCCAAAACUUUAUUAUAUUAGUGUUUGCUACGAAUACAAAGUUUGCAAAAAUUUAUUAAUACUUUUUAAAGGAGAAGACUUGUUUAAAAGGAAACUAUUUUCCUUUCUUUGAGACAAAACAAUAGCAAUAUUUAAGCAUCAGUUGAUACUUUGAAUUUUAAUUCGAUUAAUUUAAAGGGGUAAAAUAUUCUAUUGCUAAUGUAUGUAAAUUGGACCUAAACAAUACUUAUUAUUUUUUAUAAAAUUUUGAUUUGGACAAUUCUAAUUCUAAUUAUUAAAUUAAUUUUACAUGUUUAAAACGAAACAAAGUAGAAAUUUGAUUUUCUAUUUAAACGAAGAACUACUAUUUUUUAAUUUUUGGUGAACAUUCUUGGUUUAGCUCGUUUUACUUGUCAUGUUGUCUUUUGCACCUUUUUUUUUUUAAGGAAACGUCAAUUAGAAUUAGAAUCAGGGCCGGCCCAGGAGGUACAAGGACGCACCACAAUAUGGGCCACCAAAAGACUCGGGUCCGCCGAGUGUGGCAUCCUAUAACUUCAACGUGGAAGUUAGUGAAUUGGUCAUGGCAAUGAAAGACAUGGCGGAGGCCAGGUUCCCAACGGUCGUAAGGCCGAACUCCAAUUAGCGGGACGUAGAUUUGUGGUGUGAGUACCAUGCUGUUCCAGGGCAUUCGACUGAGGGUUGCAAACAUCUUCGUUACGAGGUCGUGGACUUGCUCCGCAGGGGGAAUCUAAAGGAGUUCUUAGACAACCGAAACAAGCGUGACAGGGAGAAAGGGGUCGGGACUUCUCGCAACAGACCAAUGCCCCAAGAAAGAAUCAACGUGAUCUUCGAAGGAAAGGAUAAGAUGCCCGGAGAGCAUAACGGACCAAAAUGGAGCAAAAUAGAGCAAAACAUACGAAGAUAGAAGAGGCGUAACCUGCGAGUCUGAUAAGUUGAUUUUAUAUGAUUUAGAAGUGAUCAGAAGAAACCAAGUGAAAAUAAAGUCAAAAAGAGGCUAAAUUGGACAGAUUUGCAAAACUGUCAAAACUGGACAGUUUUGCAAAAACGGGACAGAUUCGCAAAAAACGGGCAGAAUUGCAAAUCUGAAAUCUGGGGCAUAAAAGAGAGGCUUAGGGCAAAAACAUUAUCAUCUUUGGCAGUUUUUCAUCAAGUUUGGAGACUAGUUUUUACACCACACUUUGGGGUUAAAGAUUUGAAGAUUUGGUUGAGUAUUUCUUAAACCUUUAAUUCAUUUAUUCAAUCCCUUGCUUUGUAUUGUAUAUCUAAGUGUGUAGCUUUCUAUUCCAUGACUUGAAUCUUGUUUAUGAAAAUAUUCUUGAUUAAAGUUUGGUUUGAAAGUCUUGUUAUGCUUAUGUAUUGAAUGAUUCUUAUUGCUAUUGA